UUUCUCUCUUCUCAUUUCUAUCGAUUUCUCUCUUCUUAACAUUCCCAAAUUGCAAAAACCCUAGCUUGGAAGAGAAUCCGGCGGCGCCUCUGUUCACGCCGCCUUUCGCCGCCGCCUCCGGCGGCGUCCCUCUCUUCCCCCUUCCGUCCCUCUGUCUUACUCACUCCACCGGAGGUUCUCGUCUGCUGCCGCCGUCGAGCGCUCUCAUCCUCGGCGAACCCAGCAGCAGAGAGGAGGCAUCGCCUCCUUCUUUCUCUCUCAGCUGCGGCUUGCAAACGCCUCGUCCUUCUCUCGUCUUCUCCGGCGAAUUCGCGCUCGGAGUGACCCCUUUCGCGGUCGACCGAUGCUGUUCGUUGCUCGGCCAGACAGCCCUUGCCCCUGCUCCCGUCAACACUCCUAAAGCUAAGUUCUUUAAUCCAUUCUUUCCUAGUGCUAGUUAUUUAGUUUAAAAGAGCUAAGUCUAUCUAUAGAUUGAGUAUUGGGGCUUCUUUGAACCUGCUGACAGAUUUGAUUUUUCUUAGAGGAGUUGAGUGAAAGUGUUAUUGUUCUAUGCUUAUCCUAAAUCUUUUGUUAGUUAACCGCCGAGGGGUUGUAGAUAUGUGCUUUAACAUGCUUGGGGCUGAUUUCUACAUGAUGAUAGGAUAUGUUAUUUGGGAGAAAGGUGGAGGUGUAUUACCUCUUGAAAUAGCGAAGGAGUGGGCUGUCUUUGCUGCUGUUCACUACUUGCUCCACCCUCUAACUCUCUGUUCUUGCUGAAAUUUUGACGUGUGUGUGAAAGGGAGUUGAUAUGUGGUGUGGAGGGGAUUUUAUAGGCUGAGCUUCGGUGUACUAUGGGGAAUUAAAUGGGGCUGAUCUCUCUUGUCUUCAUAUCACAACAUAUCUCUCUUUUUCUGAUCAUGCAGCCCCUUUGUCUUAAUGUAGUUUGUUGGCUAGUUUGGGUACUUGGUACUUGGUGAAUAAAUCCCAUUGUUUGAUUGUGGCUAGGUAUAACAGGUGCUGCAUUAGUGAAGGGCUUUGCAGGCUGGACUUGCCCCCUUUUUGGGUAAGUCCUUGGUCUUCAUAGGAAAAGAAAGGUGAGAGAGGAAUCUUAGCUCCCACCUAGCUGCACUUCGAGCGGGCCUGGAUUUGAUGUCUGGGCCGACGGGCUGCCCGAAACGGGCCCUAAAUUGGGCCUGGAGAAAAGGCCCGAAAUGCACUCCACAAUUUAUAUUUUCCUUUCCUUGUUUUCUUUCUUUAAGGACUUUGAUCCAUGUAACCUAUUCCAUUAGUUGUUCAUUUUGUUGCC